UAUUAUAAUGUCAUAAUAUAAUGAAAUAAAAAUAAUUAGUUAGUAUGAACAUUUAUCAACAUAUCAUCAAGGAAACCAUAGAUAUCAAAAUUAGUUAUAUCCACUCCAUUUGAAAAGUCAAAAUAAUUCAUGGGAUCUUCAGGAUCAUUAUGAUCAAUACAAUUUAUUUCAAUUCCAUUUUCUUUUCUUUUAUGGAGUCUUGGUACAAAUCUACCAAAUGUUUAGGAGUGCGAUGGGUACAUUCCCUUUUAUAUAUUGAUUGUUCUUUUCAAGUCCACUACCACAACUACAACCACAAUUUCCUCAUGAUUAUCAAAUGAGGUUCCAUUCACUUCAGGAAAUGUAAUAGAAUCGGUCGAGCGAGAUUGUUGGUUUUUCAGCAAAAACUCAUUAUUUUGUACUGCCACUAGAAGAAAUGAUAUCACUUCUAGGAAUAUAAUUUCCUUUAUCGCUUCAGGGAAUAUAUUAUGAAUUUACACUCAAAAUAUUGCUACUACAGGAACAUAUUCGAGGGAUGAAAAUAUAAUAAAUAUUUUUCUCUAACAUGUCUUCAUCAGUGUUUUUCAUUCAACACUUUUAAAAUCUUUCCUUUAAAUCAUUUCAUAAGACAGGUGAGUCAUUUAAUGUAAUGUACUCAAAUUUUAAUUUUUCAUGGAGAUGAUAGCGAAUAAAAAUC
rnacentral:lncRNA from 1 species